rnacentral:siRNA from 1 species
UCAGACAACGUGGUUUGGUCC